UACGUAGGGUGCGAGCGUUGUCCGGAAUUAUUGGGCGUAAAGAGCUCGUAGGCGGUGUGUCACGUCGGCCGUGAAAACCCGCAGCUUAACUGUGGGCGUGCGGUCGAUACGGGCAUCACUGGAGUUCGGCAGGGGAGACUGGAAUUCCGGGUGUAGUGGUGAAAUGCGUAGAGAUCCGGAGGAACGCCAGAGACGAAGGUGGCUACCUGGCCCUGACCUGACACUGAGGCGCGAAAGCGUGGGGAGCGAACCGG
rnacentral:rRNA from 1 species